rnacentral:rRNA from 1 species
AUUGAACGCUGGCGGCAUGCCUUACACAUGCAAGUCGAACGGCAGCGGACCUUCGGGUGCCGGCGAGUGGCGAACGGGUGAGUAAUAUAUCGGAACGUACCUUUCAGUGGGGGAUAACGUAGCGAAAGUUACGCUAAUACCGCAUAUUCUGUGAGCAGGAAAGCAGGGGAUCGCAAGACCUUGCGCUGAUUGAGCGGCCGAUAUCAGAUUAGCUAGUUGGUGAGGUAAAGGCUCACCAAGGCGACGAUCUGUAGCGGGUCUGAGAGGAUGAUCCGCCACACUGGAACUGAGACACGGUCCAGACUCCUACGGGAGGCAGCAGUGGGGAAUUUUGGACAAUGGGCGCAAGCCUGACCCAGCCAUGCCGCGUGAGUGAAGAAGGCCUCGG